CAUCUAUGCCUUUUCUUUCUUAUACUUUUUCUUUUGACCUCUUCCAUCUGUCGCUCCUUCCUAUCCCUUCCUCCUCCAAUUUUCCCCUAACAACCCCUCCAAGGCCACCUUUACCUCUGAUGACGUCCUUGUCAACAUGUUAGAAGCAUGGCCACACAAGUGAUAGCCUUGGAGGACCAGGGACAAAUCUAGAGGGUGGCAUCAACACCGACGAUCAAAUCUGCUUGAAGAUAUACUUCUAGACUUAUGGGUGAGUGGUUCACUAAGAAAAACACGGUUCAUAUCUAUUUCAAGAUCCUAAUGGUUUUGAUGUCGUUGAAAACCCUUCCUCCAAUAGCGGUGGUGUUCACAUGUCCUUAAAUCAAUCAUCGAUGGUUCCAACAAUGAAGAUUCUCUAGGAGUUGAGUUUUAAAUGAGCAUGAUGGGAGAUCUCAAGUUCUUUUUAGGGCUUCAGAUGAAGCAACAUGACAAAGGUAUAUUCAUUCAUCAACAUAAAUACACUAAAGAACUUCUAAUGAAGUACAAGAUGGAAGAUGCUAAAGUAAUGGAAACUCCCAUCCAUGCUUCAAAUUCUUUGAGCAAAAUGAAUCAAGUAAACUAGUAGAUCAAACAAUCUACAGAGGUAUGAUUGGAUCACUUCUAUAUUUGAUUGCAAAUAGACCUGAUAUCAUGUAUUGUGUAUGUCUAUGUGCUAUAUUUUAGUCUAAUCCUUGAGAGUCACAUCUCAAAGUUGUUAAGAGGAUAUUACGAUAUCUAGUAGGCACUACUAACCAAAGUCUGGUCUAUAAGAAAAUUCUAGAUUUAAGGUUAGUAGGAUAUUGUGAUGCAGUCUAUGCAAGAGAUAGAGUUGAACGAAAAAGUAUAGGUGGCGGAUGCCAUUAUCUUGGACCUUGUAUAAUAUCUUGGGCAUGUAAGAAGCAAAACUCCAUUGAACUAUCUAUAUUUGAAGUUGAGUACAUGGUUGUUGCAUGUUGUUAUUCA